CAGGUGAGCACCAGGCGCUCCUACCUGAGCCAGCCUUUGCUAUCGGAGCAGCACACCGUGCCAGAAUGGCCCCAAAGUGCCCCAAAAUGCUGUGAAAUGCCAAGGGAGCUCUCAGCACCUGGCCUGCUUCGGGGGAAGGAGGGGAAGAACAACAGUAACUCUUUGAACCCAACUGAAUGUUAAUAGCACAUCUAAAAAUGAACGUCAGGUAGUCAACAUUCACAAAAUGUUGAGAACUGAUUAAAAUGUACGUAUUACCGAAGGUUACGACGUCACUACGAGGCAGGCAUGUCUUUUGGACUUGUAUAGCACCGUCAAGUACAGUCUCUUUAUUUAAAACUACAGUGAAGAAUAAAAAAGUAGUCAAUGGUAAAAUAUCGUCCAACGUAAAACCUCUAAGCAGACAAAAAUAAAGUUAAACUGCCCUCUCUCCUCAGCCAUGUUUUAUAAUGUUAUAAGUACUGUACAUUUUUCUGUCAUAAUAUUAUUAAAAUGCCUGAUAUUGAGUGGUACGAGUAAAAAAAAAAAAAAAAAAGAAAAAAAUAAUUAAAAUAAAUUAAGAAGCAGAGGCCAAUCACCGGACAUAAAGCUUCGGACACGACCAAGGACUAACACUGAUUUGCUGCGCGCCACUGAGGACAUCAGCACGUGUACAGACACAGAAGCGAGGGACAGGCGAGCUCCAUCUCUGCUCCCACGGACUCUGGGCUUACUUUGCUGGCAUCUUCUCUGCCAUGUGCUUCUGCUGGCUCUCGGCAUGUCUGGGAAGGAGAAG
rnacentral:lncRNA from 1 species